GGGCCCGCACAAGCGGUGGAGUAUGUGGUUUAAUUCGAUGAUACGCGAGGAACCUUACCAGGGCUUAAAUGUAAUAUGACCGGUUGAGAGAUCAACCUUUUUCGAACAGAUUACAAGGUGCUGCAUGGUUGUCGUCAGCUCGUGCCGUGAGGUGUCGGGUUAAGUCCCAUAACGAGCGCAACCCCUAUUUUAGUUACCAGCGAGUAAUGUCGGGAACUCUAGAAAAACUGCCUGUGCAAACAGAGAGGAAGGUGGGGAUGACGUCAAAUCAUCACGGCCCUUAUGUCUUGGGCUACACACGUGCUACAAUGGUUACUACAAUGUGAUGCCAUCUGGUGACAGAGAGCUAAUCAAUAAAGGUAAUCUCAGUUCGGAUCGGAGUCUGCAACUCGACUCUGUGAAGUUGGAUUCGCUAGUAAUCGUAUAU
rnacentral:rRNA from 1 species